UGUAUUCGACUGUAUUUGACUGUAUUCACGACGUGAAACAGGGGAUUACACUGUUUUUAAACAGAAAGUAUAUCAAUUAACAUAAUAGACUACU
rfam:Nicotiana attenuata strain TT chromosome 5, whole genome shotgun sequence.